CAUUGACCUAAUUGUAAGAGGAUAAUAUUCAAGAAAUGUGGAGAUAAAUAAUUUUCUUCUUGACAUUAAAAAAAUCUAAUAAAAAGUUUUAUCUUUUCCCCUAACUCAGUGUCAUCAGCCUUCAAGCUUCAGUCUCUGUGUGUUCACAGGUGCUGCAAACACACGCAUCACUACUAAUAUCCCACUUCAGUGCUAUUGCUGCUCCCAAAACUCCAGCUGGCACACUUUUUCCAGUAGCCAUUCUACUUGGUAUGCUUACUUAUCAGCUGUCCUCCAGGGGCCUCACAUUAGAUGUUUCUCUUGACUAACCAAACAUGACACACAGCUGAAGUCAGAAAAACCAGAUUGAUAAUUUCACUCAAACUAUUUUCCUUCAUUCUAACAAUUUACUGGAAUACACAAUUGUGACUAUUUUUAGCCAUAGGAACUCAUAGAAAGACCAACUUCAUUAGACCUACAAAAUCGAAUUGUGUAACAGUAUAUGCAGUAUGUGUAGGAAUAAAAAGCAUUUCUCAAAUAUGCAGUACUGGAUUUUGCAAAAG
rnacentral:lncRNA from 1 species